rnacentral:lncRNA from 1 species
AGUGCAUGGAUAUUAUUCCAAGUUCAUAAUUUUUUGUAGAGUAGAAGUAGUGAUAUUCCCAGCAGCAAAGCUAGAAAUAUUUGCCUUGGAAAGCAAAUCUCUAAACCAAUUGCUAGACACAUCAAGAGAGAUGCUGACUUGUAUACUCUCAGGUCACCGACAUUCGUCACCGACAUUGCUCAGGUCUGUUUCUACUUCAGGAUAAGAAAUUCAUUUUUUCUCCACCUCAAGUUAUUUAGCUGUUUAGCUCUUCUGUACUUCUGGGUCACUGAAAACAUUGAUGAUUAAUGCAAGAAUCCUGAUUGCAGAAUUAAUGGUCAUUUCUGUGCAGUAAAUUCUAUUAGCGUAGAAUAUCUUGUGAGCUGAUGGUAAAAGAAUUCUUUCCACUUAAACCUUUUAUUUUCCGAGAUUGCUUAAAAUAAUCUCCUUUCCUGUCAUAAGUUGUCAGCAACAUAUUUGUGGAAAAUAAAAGCAGCCCAGAUGUUGUAUGAAGAACUGAUGCAUGAUAUUUGAAAAUAAAUGUGUUUUGCAGUUUAGGUUGAUAAUUCUGUACCAUCAGAUCAUUUGAAGAUUAAAAGAGUUAUACUUCCUUCUCUAUUAAUCGACAUAUUUUGGUAAUACAAAUCAUAGCAUCAAUACAUAUGUUCCAUGUUUAAGGAAACUUAUUUUGAAGGCCUUGAACGUAGAUCCAUCACUCUUUAGCACAAACAAAGUGCAAGAAACUUAUUAAUAAUAAUAAACCUCAAUGAUCGAUCUCAAGCCCAGUACUGGAGUUAUCUUAUAGCCAUUGAAGCCCGCCUCAAGGAAAAGCUUUUCCCAGUCUUUCUCAUUUCUUUCUCUUCCUUUGGCAUGAACCAUCAUCAGCAUAUCGAAGAACAAUUGGGUUUCAAUAGCCUCUGCAUCAUCAUCUCCAUUUUGCUGGCUUUUCAGCAGCAUGUCAAUAAUGAUCACCUUGCCUCCCUUUUCCUUGCUAGGAAUUGCUUCUUUACAUUUCCUGAGUAUUUGUACACAUUCCUCAUCGCUCCAAUCAUGCAAUAUCCACUGCCAUUAGCAUCAUAAAGCAUUGAAGAAUUUGUCAGAAAACUCAUAUAUCCCAUGUAAAAUUUGUUGACUAAAAUGAUUAAAAGAAAAUGAUAGAUAGUGUGGGAGAAGUUAGAAAAUGAUAGAUAGUGUGGGAGAAGUUAAAAAGCAAGACUAUCGUUAUUUUUAUCAAUCAAAAACAUAAAAGUAUCACCAAGUUUAGUGAAUGAAGAGUAAUAAGGUGAUAUAAUGUUUGAUCACAUACGCAAGGGGCAAAGAUGAAUCGCUCCAUUGUAUAAAAUUUCAUUUUUGAACGUGGAAACCAUACCUUGACUAUUCCGGAGGACAUGAAACACAAUUUGUUCUAUUAAUCAUAAGAUACGACUAGCAGUACUAGAUCCUAUCUUAAGAAAUUAAAAACAAUAGAAGGGUAUUGAAAUUGUAUUUGUUAAAACAUGUUUAUCCUUUUCUUCAUGGUGCAGUUUCCAAAUUAAGCAUGUGCCCAAAGCAUACUUUCUUGUUUACUUGAAGUUGACACUUGUCUCUUUAACAGGUGAAGUUUAAUAGUGGAAACUGAAGCAAAGUACACAAAGUUAGUUAUUAAACCAAUAAACUAUUUCUGAUUGAUUUAUACCUUCAAUAAAACAGCAUCUGCUGGAGGAAUGGCUUCAAACAUGUCACCUCCCACAUAGGCCAAGUUCUUACUACUUUCCCAGCCAUCAACGACAUGAGGAAGAUCAAGCACAGAGCAUUCCAGAUGAGGAAAAGCAUCAGCAAUAGCCUUAGCCACAGUUCCAGUUCCACCCCCAACAUCAAUCAACGAAUUCAGCCCCAUAAAAACAUCCUUACAAUUCUUGAUAACCAUGGUACUAACCAACCGGGCAUCACUAGCCAUGCCUUCAUUGAAAAACUGGUUUA